rnacentral:rRNA from 1 species
CGCGUAGGCGGUCAGGUCAGUCCCGUGUGAAAUCCCUCGGCUCAACUGAGGAACUGCACGGGAAACUGCCUGGCUUGAGUUCGGGAGAGGGAAGCGGAAUUCCGGGUGUAGCGGUGAAAUGCGUAGAUAUCCGGAGGAACACCGGUGGCGAAGGCGGCUUCCUGGACCGACACUGACGCUGAGGCGCGAAAGCUAGGGGAGCAAACG